AAGACUCUUCACUGGGCUGGCAAGGGGACUGGCCGUAGCGGUGCUGUCAGAGGGCAGAGCUCAUACAAAGUAUAACAAUGUUAUCAUGAAAAAAAAAUCGAGAUUUGUGCCAAAAAACACUACAAUGUUAACAACGAAAUUGUUGAAAACAUAUUUUUUAAACUAUAUUGUUUAACACUAUGGAGAAGCCUGGUCACCCUUUUGCUAUGGCUUGGUUACUGAAUAAGUUACUUUGCACAGUACCCACUUUACACAAGCAUUUGGGUUUGGCCCACUGGAUUUAAAGGCAUCCCGUCCCUUAUCUCCCCUGGUUCCGGGCCAGACCUUUACCAGUGUAGGCUGCAGAGAUUUCAUUUAGCAACUUGCAAAUGUGACAGAAUUAGCACAGGAUAUACAGAGAAAAUAUCAACUUUUUUUCAAAAGCAACUUAGAGUACCGGUAGGCACAGGUAAUAUGCACUCACUGGGCACUGAAUCCUUAGUACCUGGUUCUACCAGUGCCCUAACCCUAGGAACAAGAAUAAUUUAUUUAAUGUUUUUUAGAAAAUAAUUCAAAUGUUUGGUUCAGGUCCUGGGCUCUUUCAAGCACCUUGAAACAAUGAAAAUCAUUAAUGGCGCUAAUCAAAUAUAUAAAAUAGAAAGAAAUUAUUAAAGUAGUAAAAAUAAUUCUGUUCACACAGUGACACACAUAAGGCUUCCACACCUGUCACUCACCAUAUUCCCCACAGCGUUGAAGAGACUGUGAUAAUAUAAUGUAAUCCAAACACUGUCCGCAAUGGUUCCUUUCCAGGAUAUUACUGAAGAUGCAAACUUCAACUGCACAGCCCGUGACCAACUUCACCACAGUGUUCCUGAAUACCACAUCCACCACCAAGUCCAAGGAGCAAAUACUAACUCAGAGUUCUGGUGCUAUGAUAGCACUCAUAGUCAUUGGGAUAAUCAUCAUUCUGAUCAUCUUACUCAUCAUUCUCAAGACCUACAACAGGAGAACCCAUGCGUCCAGGCUGCUCGCUGGUGUUGGAGGCUCCAAACCUCAUAAAAAGUCCUCCUCCACAACACAGGUGAACAUGCGUAUGAGUCACCUGGCGCCCAGUUCCGUGUCUGGGAGUUUCGUGCUGUCGUCCAUCCCGUCAGAGAAUGGCUUCCGUCUCCCACGGGUAGACUUGGCCAAUGUUGACCAUAACAGUUUGGAGCAGUACAGCACAGCCAGCGGCUCUACGGUUGUCAGCGUACACGACGCGCCUUCCAUGGAGAACACGUAGGAGCUGCCGCUGUCACAGCCAGAGCCUCAUGGAACAGACUUCAGAAUCGACGUGCAUGUCAUAUCACAAGGAUUAAUAGAAACAACACCACAAUGAACAAAGGAGCACCGUGCUGAACGCUUGAGCGAGACAGUCACACCAUACUACUGUAGGCCACUUGUGUAAUCCAGCAUAGAGACCUGGGCGAAGGUUCACAUUGUACCACCUCGGGUCAGAGGCCAGAACGCGCUGAUCUCCAGGCUCCAUUGCUGCCCAUGGCCGUUUUACUUAUAACCCACAAUAAUUCUGUGUGAAGGAAGCGAUGCGAAGAACACAAUGAGAAUUUGAGACGGGUUAAAAUAAGCGGGUUGUAGGCUAUAUGUCAAAUUAGUUAACGCAGCCAUGUCAACUGUUUAUAUUAAUUCAACAGAUGAUUUUGCACUGACCGUUGCUGUUCUUGUGAUUGUUGUGACACGUCUUUCAUGAACCUUAAUUGAAUGUGAAUCUUUCCUAGGUUUUGAUUUAAAGCUAAAAGUAUGUUGUAAUAAAAAGAUUUAUUUUUGUAAACUAUUUUAUUUAUUUUACUGAUUUCACUGUCAGGAAACUGUGUUUUAAAUAGGCUAUAAGGCUGUGCUUGCAUAUUAUCAAAAUGCUGAAAGAAUGUGGAAUCAUAGUACAGAGCUUUGUAUACGAAGUCCACAAGGUAGUACCAUAAUAUCCAUGAUGUCCUUUCUGUUUAUCUUCAGGCAAUCAAUUUCCAUAUUGCCCCAAAUAGGGAACAUUAUAUUAUCCAUGUAAUAUCUCCCAGCAUGCCAAAAUACUGAGCAUCACACCUUUUAAAAUCCAGCAGCAUCUUAAUUCAUCUGAAAGUGAUGAAAUACUAUCCACAUUGUAUUUGACUGAUCAAAGUUUCUUUUCUUGGUUAAACAUGGAUUUCAUCGUUGA
ensembl:lncRNA